rnacentral:rRNA from 1 species
CCUACGGGGGGCUGCAGUGGGGAAUAUUGCACAAUGGGCGCAAGCCUGAUGCAGCCAUGCCGCGUGUGUGAAGAAGGCCUUCGGGUUGUAAAGCACUUUCAGCGGGGAGGAAGGCGGUGAGGUUAAUAACCUCAUCGAUUGACGUUACCCGCAGAAGAAGCACCGGCUAACUCCGUGCCAGCAGCCGCGGUAAUACGGAGGGUGCAAGCGUUAAUCGGAAUUACUGGGCGUAAAGCGCACGCAGGCGGUCUGUCAAGUCGGAUGUGAAAUCCCCGGGCUCAGCCUGGGAACUGCAUUCGAAACUGGCAGGCUAGAGUCUUGUAGAGGGGGGUAGAAUUCCAGGUGUAGCGGUGAAAUGCGUAGAGAUCUGGAGGAAUACCGGUGGCGAAGGCGGCCCCCUGGACAAAGACUGACGCUCAGGUGCGAAAGCGUGGGGAGCAAACAGGAUUAGAUACCCUUGUAGUC